UGAUUCUGACAGGUAUUUUGGUACCUGGACUUCAUUAAGUCCACAGGUUUCCUCUUUUCUGAAGGAAAAAAAUCACGUCCGACAACUACCUCCAUACGUAUGACAUGGAGGCAUCUCUGGCAAGCCAUGGUUGGAAUUGGAUGGAGUGUGGAUCAUAUUGUAGUAAGAUGCAAAAUAUAUGAUUGAUAUUGCUGAAGCAAAAUGC
rnacentral:lncRNA from 1 species